UGUUUCAUAAGGUUUCCUGCUAUUAACUUUAGUUUCUAAGUUGUGAACAUAAUUGCUAAAUCAGAAAUUCUAAUUGGUAGUCUUACACAUGGAAAUGAUUAGUUUCUACCUAUUAAUUCUGUGUCUUGCUACCUUACUGAAUUCUGUUUGUUCAUUUGUUCUUUUUUCACUGGGGAUUGAACCCACAGGUGCUUUACCACUGAGCUACAUCCCCAGUUUAUUUAUUUAUUUAUAUAUAUAUAUAUAUAUAUAUAUAUAUAUAUAUUUUAUUUUUUAAAAUUGGACACAAUAUCUUUAUUUAUUUAUUUUUAUGUGGUGCUGAGGAUCGAACCCAGGGCCUUGCACGUGCUAGGCGAGCGCUCUGCCAUUGAGCCACAAACCCAGCCCCCCAGUUAUAUUUUAAUUUUUCAUUUUGAGACAUGGUCUUGCUAAGUUGUCCAGGCUGGCCUUGAAUUUAUGAUCUCCCUGCCUGGUUCUGGGUUGCCUGCGGUGGUCUUGAACUCAUGGCUCAAAUAAUCUCCUCCUCAACCUCGCAAGUAGACAGGACUAUAGGCACAGGAUACCAUGCCUGGCUAAAGAUGUAUUAUUGAAGGUGAAUAUGAAUGGUAGACCAUCAUUCAUAGAACACUUACUAUGUUAGUUCAUUUAAUUAUUUUAAGAAUUAAAUUAAUUAAGAUACACAUUGACAUCACCAUUUUACAGAUGAGAAAACUGAGGUAGAAAGGUUAAGUGGAGGUUAAGUGGUUUUCCAAGGUGACACAGCUAAUAAAUGGUAGGGUUUAGAUUUAAAUCUAAGAAACCUGAAUCCAGAAUCACUCUUCUUAAUAAUUGUACUGUAUUGCCUGACAUCAUUUUGAAUUGAAAAGAGCAAUCUUUUUUCAACGUGACUAGAGGAUGACUAGAAAAGGCAUGGAGAGAUCAGUUAAGGGGCUACUGCAGUAUUCCAAAAUAAGUUAAUUGUUGCUUGGAAGUAAAGUGAUGGCAGGGAAGUUCAGAGAAGUAGAUGGCUUAUUAUUAUACAGGGUGAGUGUAUCGUGGGUGAAUAAAUGGAAAAUAGAUGAAUGAAUGACUCAUGUAUAAAUGGGACAAUAUGCUGUCUCACUACACAGUAUUUAUAGGGGAAAAACUGCAGAAUUAUCUGUUGAAAUAUAAACCAACAGGCAAAUGUCAACCUAUGUAGAUGUAUUUAUAUUAGUACUAACCAAAGUUUUUAUCUUAAAUACAUGGUAGAAAAAGAUGUUAAUCUACAAAACAAUACGUUCUGUAUGUUCAUUCUGCAAACUUCUUGUGCAUUUGAUGCUGUAAAGCUCUUCUAGCUCUAAUUAGGCCUUUUUAAGUUUACAAAAAGAUAUUAUUGUUCCUCACAUGGAAGUAAAGGAAGAAUGCUGUCUAUGUAAGUGAAUUAAAAGGAGGAGAACACUCUAAAAUUGAGAUCAUAUUCUUGAACAACAAAGGCAGUUAGGCAGAGAGUAAAUAUUUUGGUUCAUUUGAACAAUUUAUAUUUCUACUUCAGACAUGGCUGCUAUACUUGUAUUAUACCUGUAUCUUGCAUUAAUGCAUAUUAUGGUUAAAAUAUUUUAUCCUAGAAGGCUAAAAGAUGUAAGAAGAUAUUAUCUGUUUUUAAUUCUCUUAUAUUUUUGUUUCUUCAUCAAUUCUAAUCCUUUAUAUAAUUUAAAUACCUUUGAUAGAUCACCUAAUUAUUUGAUUGUUGGAAAUUUUAUGUUUUAAAAUAUCCAGGACACAUACAAAUUCAUUUUGAUUUUAGAAUAAGCAAACUGAAUUCAGAAUUCUCUCAGAUAAGUAGAUCAUGUGGAUAGUUGAGGAAUCUAAACUCAUGAUUUUUGAUAUAUAGAAAUGGAUAUUGAAAUAGAUAUGUGUAUUUCUUUGUGCUACCCUAGGUCUGUUCAUUGAGAAAGCCUUGGAAUAAUUACAGAUUUCAAACAGCAGCGAGCAUACCUAGCAUUCAAAUCUUGGCUUCUGAAUACCUUUAUUCACUAAAAGGAACCAAAGUAUAUUGGAAAAAUAGCUGAUCUUAGGUUAGUGCAGGGAAUGUAAAAGAUGAAUCUAAAAUACAGAAUCUUGUGCCAGAAAGUAAGGAAGUGUAGAGUGAAUGAUGGAUACAUGUCAAAAACACACACUAUCUUAAAGGGCCAACUGUGGGCCAAUUUGAGCCUCAAACUGAAUGGUUAUAAAUGAUAAUCUAUAAAAUAGGAACUCAUGAGUCCAUAGUUAUAAAGAUAAAUACAUAAAAAAUGGAAAUUUUGAUUAAGAAAUAGAUAUUUCAUAGUCUCAAAGCUAACCACAAAGUGAAAAAGUUUUGCAUUGGAGAAAGUUGGUAGUUAACACCCUAUUAGGCAAUCAGUAUCAUCAGUAAUGGGACAAAUUGAAAUCAUGUGCUACCAUGCUGUGAGAAGACACAUCAUUUCUGGCCCAAGAAACAGUCUAGAUCAUGUGGAAGUAUCAAAUUAAAGUUGAUGAUCAUUAUGCAAAAUGAUUGGCUUGUAAUCUUCAAAAAUGGUAAGGCCAUGAAAAAGACAAGGAAAGACAGAGGAGCUGUUUCACAUUGAAGGAGAUUAGAGAGCCAUGACAACGAUUGAAACAUUUUAGACUUGGACAUUAUUAGACCAAUUGACAAAACUGGAGUAAGUUGUAGAAUUAGGUGGUAGAAUUGUUUUCAUGUUAAUUACCCGUUUUUGAUAGUUAUGUAGAAGAUUUUGAUUUUUACAUAGAAGAAAAUCUCUGUGAGAAAUAAAAGUAAAUGUGAGGUAUGAGAAGUAGAGCAAGUACAGAAAGAUGCUUCAUCGUAAGAAUUUGGUAAUAAAGGAAGCAGAGAAAUGGGGCUAGAAUGGGGCGCCAGGGAAGGCAGUUUCUGACAUGGAAGGUGUUACAGGAUCUGUUUGUGAAUGAGAAAGGUCUAGAGGAAAGGGAAGAUGAUGAGGCAGGAGAGGAUAUAAUUUCAGAAGCAAUGUACUAGAAAAGGGCAGGAGAUUCAUUGCCUAAAUAAGGGAUUGAUCUUAGGAGUAAAGAUCAAUAUAACUGAAAAGAAUGCAGAGUAUAGGUUGAUUAAUUUAAUUGUGGAAAUAUGAAUGUAUUAGCUUUCCUUUGCUGUGGCACAUACACGGGAUUAUCAACUUAAAGAGGACAAAGUUUAUUUUGUUUCAUGCUUUUAGAGGUUUCAGCCCAUGAAUGGAUGACCCAUUACUUCUGGGUGUAUAGCAAAGUAGUACCUCAUGGUGGGGGUUGCAGAGCAUUGGGAACUGCUCAUCUUCUGGCAGUGGGGAAGCAAAAAUGAGACAAAAAGAGGAAGGGGGUCCAAGUCUCAAUAUCCCUUCAAAGGCACACCCUAAAUGACCUAAUUUUCUUCCACCAGGCUUCACGUACUUCCAUAAACUCUAAUAGCGCCACCAAUUGGCGACCAAGCCUUUAAUAUACAGGAUUUGGGAGUCAUUUAAAAUUCAAACCAUGAAUAUGAGAGAAUUAUCUACAGAUGAAUUCCAUUUUUCCAGUGAAAAUAGAAUCUGUAUUACUAGAUGAAGGUGAAGAAUUCAGAGGUUUUACCGGAGGUUUCAUGAGAAAGAGGAAGUAGCAGAUAGGCAUUACGAGACAAAGAGUGAACAGACUAGAAACAUGUACAGAUCAAAGGGCAACCCUGAAGAGGUUUGUGGUAAAAAUUUGCAAGUGAGACCUAUUAAAAUUGAUGUGUAUUUUUGUCCAGUAAAUGAUGGUAGCUGGACAAAUACAUAGUGGGGACUCCAUUUUGAAAAAGGAAAAAGAAAAAAGAAGAAAGAAAGAAAAAAGAUGUCAACUGGUUCCUGUAAGAAUAGUCAGGGCCUUGUACUUUUGUCAUAUCUAGUAACAACAUAUACAGAUGUUUAGGGCCAUGACAGUUUUUUCUUUUCUUUUUAAAAUUUUAUUUUUUAGUUGUAGAUGGACACAGUAUUUUUAUUUUAUUUUUAUGUGGUGCUGAGUAUUGAACCCAGGGCCUCACACGUGCUAGGUGAGUGCUCUACCACUGAGCCACAACUCCAGCCCAGUUUUUUGCUUUUCAUACUAUUAAUCUUAUCUAGUAGCAUGUUUAUAUUAACUUCAAAAAGAGUUGGGAUAUAUGGCACCUUUAAAAAAAAAAAAAAAGUUCUUUCAAAGUUUGUUUAAAACAAUCAGGAUUUUUGAUAUGUUGAAGUGUUUGAUACAACUUGUUGUAUCACUUAUGUGAUAUUUUCAUAGGAAUUAAGAAAUAUUCAAUUAAAAAAGUAAAAAAUUUCUGUGAAACCAGUCAGUACUUGAUAAAGUAACAUAUACCUUUUAGAAGUAAUACUUUACUUUUUAUAAAAACUCAGGCAGAUGGAAAGAAUAAGACAGAGACUAAGUAAUUUGAGGAAGUCUAAGAGCUGGGUAGAGGUAAGUUUGGAAUUCAAACUCAAAUAGUCUGGAUCCAAUACCUCUGCUGUGCUGUCUACUAUGGAGAUUGCUGAUAGUAAAUGUUUAAUCCUGUACUAACCAUCUGCCAGCCAGGUCCCACAAAAUAACAGGUGUAAAUGGAAGAAGUACAAACUAAUGUAGACAUCAAUCAAAGAAAAACAUUUGGAGAGUAAAUCUGCAAAAAAAUUAAUGUUAACUGUGUUUCAGAGUCAACUAUUAGGAACUUAAAAAAAAUAAAUAAUACUGUUCUCUUCUACAGUUUCUGAUAAUUGAGAAAAAGAACUGUGUUAUUGCUUACUUUUCUUAAUGUUUUGUCUAAGGAAAAGGUUCCUGUGAUGAGAUUGUGUCUUCUGCCACGCGACCAGCGCUGGCUUCAUGAAAGAAGGUUCAGUUCAUAAGUAAUUGCUAGGGAGUUUUAAAUUAAAGAGACAAGACUCUAAUUACCUUUAAUACCAACUCCGAGAGGGCUUCUCCUAGCUCCCGCCUCCAGCCACCUAAUGCGGUGGCAGGGUUUACGAAGAGACUAGAGAGAGAGAGAAAACACGCCAGGGAGUGGGCUUUUAUUGGGGAACCAAAACUUCCGGGGAAAAUCCCAUCCAAUGAAGGUUAAGGGGGCAGCAUCCCAAGGUCAGGGGCGACAAUUGGGUCUUUGGGGCAGUGGCCAGACAUGCCUCUGCAUGGACAAGCCCUUGGACCUGGGAAAGGGUGGGGAAGGCUCUAACAGCAGUGUCUAAGCGCCUCUCACCCAGCUAGGGAGGUAACUCAAAUCACGUUCGAGGAUGGCCUCCCACAGUAUGUGUGUGAUACAUUAAACGUAUUACCCUAUCCUAUUUUAAAUUAUGUGUAUUUCCCCAAAACCCAGAACCUUUUUCAAGCAUGGAAGAAAAUUUAAAAAAUUUAAGGCAAAAAUUGACUAAUCAAAAUAUAUUUAGUGAAUAUUAAUUAUGCUCCAAUACUGUUGGGAAAGGAGUUUUUUUUUUUUUUUUUUUUUGAGUGGUGGUGAUGGUGCUGGGAUUGAACCCAGGGCUUGUGCAUGCUAGGCAAGCACUCUUCCAACUGAGAUAUAUCCCCAAUUCGCUUUCCCCAUACUGUUUAAGUCACUUUCUUAGCUAAUCCUUACUAGUUUUAAAAUCAUUGGCCUUAAAAUAAAUCACAUUAUUCAUACUGGUAUUUGCUAUAAUAGUUGGUAAACCCAACUAACCACAUUUAUUUAUGUCCUGGGUCGUACCUGUUAAAACCCCAGGUUUUUGCCUUAGUUUCUUCCUGAUCAUCUUGCCUGUGUCUAAUGUUUUAAUCCCCUUGGAGAACUGGGGCCCUAGUACCUUUGUCAAAUUCUUCUGAUUCUCCUGGAAAACUAUUGUUCUUAGUAUACUCCACUUUUGGUGGGAUUCUUACCAAACAUAUCCAACAAACAUUUCACUUGAUUUCUCAAAAGUACUUUGUAGGGGCAGAUGUUGUGGCUUAGUGGUAGAGUAUUUGCCUAGCAUGCCUGAGGCACUGGUACCACAUUUAAAAGCAAAAAUAAAAUAAAGGUAAAAAAAGAAAAAACAAGUACUUUGUAUUGAUCAGCUUGUGUUACUAUGAUGUAGUACCUGUACACUUAGUUAGAAGGUAGUAAAGAGAAGUUUAUUUAGCUCAUAGUGUUGGAGGUUCAAAUCCAAAAUCAGCAGGCCCUGAUGAGGGCUGUGCAUGGAUGGCAAUGGCAGGAGUGUGUGUUAGAAUGAGUGGUCACAUUUCCAUCCAGGAAGCAAAGUGAGGAUGGGCAGCAUCCUGUAGUUCCCUUACAGAGAAUGUCCCCAAUGACCUAACAAUAAUACCACUCCCGCUGGAGAGCGAACCCUUAAGGGGCACUCAGAUGAUAUUCAAAUGACAGCAGAUUACUACCUGUAACUUUUGUUACAACAGACAUGAUUGGACAUUAUUACUACCAAGAAUUGCUUUAAUUGUACAAAAGAUUUUAUUUAUAUCAUAUAUUUAUUACUGUUAUCAUCAUCCAGCGUCCAUAAAGCCCAACUUUACAUCAAAAACUUGGCACCUUAGAGAUUGAGUCAGUGGGUCUGAGAUGAGAUUUUUUUUAAAGCAUCCUAUGGUGCUUCUUAGCUAAAAGAUAAAUGUUUGGGAAUCUUGAUCGACUAGCGUUUGGAAAUCUUGUUUAAGAUAUACUUGUGACAGUUACUUAUUCUCAAAUGUUGGUUGAACAAGAGGUGCUUCACCAAUAUUGCAUACAAUGAGAAAAUAAAUAAAUAUGGUGAAGAUUUUAAUAAUCUAGUAAUGAUAUCGAUUUAAAGGACUUUUAUUUUUAGAGAUUGUCUUCCCCUUGGUGAGAGGCUGAUUGCAUUAGUUUAUUUUAUAAAGUGAUGAUGAAUGAAGGCAAUAAUUAGUGUAUUUUAUUUUUAAAAGGAAAAUGUGAAAACAAACACAAGAUUAACAUUUUAAAAAAUAUUUUUUAAGUUGUAGAUGGACACUAUACCUUUAUUUUAUUGAUUUAUUUUAAGUGUUGCUGAGGAUUGAACCCAGUGCCUCAUAUGUGCUAGGCAAGUGUUCUACCACUGAGCUACAACCCCAGACCAAGAUCAACAUUUAUAAUCAGUCCUCAAAAUUUUGAAAUUGUAUUAGUUUAUGAAAUUAAAAAGUCCGAGAAUCUCUUGCUGUAGACAAUUCAACUGUCAGGUCAAAUUACAAACUCAGCCAGUUUUUCUAGGGUUCAGUUUCCCCAGUUUUAUUUGGCUGGCCUGUCUUUUUGCUUUCUACACAGGUAGCCUCAGAACUAUGCCCUAGCAAGUGUACUUGCUCUCAAGUGUCUUUGUACUUUCUUACUGAUGACCCUGGGGGCCCUACAAGUUGGGUCUCUAAGGGUCUUUUAAUUCUAAAACUUCCUAAUUUAAGGAAGCAGCUGAUUAAGUCUCCUGAACAAGUUUGCACAUAAUGUUUCUGAUUGUAUUUCAAAUCUUUUAAUUAAUGUAAGGGCAAAUAAUAAGGAAAAAUGAAUCCUGAUUACUUUGACCAAUGCACUAUGUAUUAGUCUUACUUGUGUUAUCAUGGAAACAAUGUUGAUAAAUUCUGUAGGGGAAGGAGCAUGUAACCAAUAAGGAGUUGAAGUUUACCCCUUUUUAAGUGUUCCUUUAUAACAUAUAAUCUCAGCAUUUCUUUGUGUAGAACAAACUUAAAUUUCCAUAUAAGUAAUUAGACUCCAGAUGUUCAUGUGUGCAUUUUUUGUUGUUUUGUUUUUGGCUAAAAGCAGCAGGCAGCCAUUUGUUGGAUACUACUCUCUCAUGACCUGUAUGGUUGUUGAUUUAGGUAACCGGUGGGGGAGGUGAGGGGAUAGAGAAAAGACAGGCAUAUAAAUAGAGAAAAGGCUGGGUCCAGGCCAUUCAGCCAACCCCUGAUGGGGGGAAACUGACACCAGAGCUAGCUCAGUAUGUUUAUUAUAUAGAUUUAAACAUCAAAGGGAUUUAUUGUGAGAAAGUUUCUUCAAGUCCAGCAAAACCAAGGCCAUAAGUAUGAGCAAUCCAGUUAUGAUUAUCAGCUUGUGCCCAUAACCUUCUACCUCCCCCCGCCCCCAGCAGCUGGCACUUGAAUCUCCAGGACAAGAACUGAAUAGCUCUGUGGCUGGCACAGAACCUUCUAUUGAACAGGGCAUCACCAUAUAUGUGAUGUUAGCUUUUAACUAUCUUCUCACUGUUCUCUUUGGACAGUUUGUCAGUAGGUGGAAAACUCAGAAUAGGUAUAAUGAAUGUUAUGUUAGGGGCUCUUUUCAUUGAAGAGUGCACUUUAGAAAAUGUCAAAAGCAGUGUUACAAUAAUCAUGUGUGUUUCACAUUUUUAUGUUUAUAUUUACCAGUUUUUGGACCAUAUUAUAUGUGGUGCUGAGAAUUGAACCCACUCCCUCACACAUGCUAGGCAAGUGUUCUACCAUUGAGCUACAACCCAGUCCCAUUUUAUUUAUUUAUUGUGGUGCUGGGGAUUGAACCCAAGGCCUUGUGCAUUCGAGGAAAGCACUCUACCAACUGAACUAUAUCCCCAGCCCCAUUUUAUUUAUUUACUUAUUAAAAAAAUAUUUUCUUUUAGUUGUAGUUAGACACAGUACCUUUAUUUUUAUGUGGUGCUGAGGAUCGAAUACAGUUCCCUGCCUGUGAUAGACGAGUGCUCUACUGCUGAGUCACACCCCAGCGUCCCCACCAUUUUAUUUUUUAUAAAUAAUUUUUUUAAACGCAGGAGCACUCUGCCACUGAACCAUAUCCCCAGUCCUUUUAAUUUUUUUGUUUUGAGACAGGAUCUUGAUAAGUUGUCAUCUUCUUGCCUCAGUCUCCCAAGUAGCUGGAAUUUUAGGUGUGUGCCACUGUGCUGGGCUAUGUUUUAAUUUUGUAUUCACACCCCCACACAUAUAAUUUUGUGUAUAUUAAUAAAAUUUGUUUCAGUUUCAUAGAUUUUUAUAAAAAGGAGUUAUUGAGAAUUCUCAAAACUUGAAAAUAUUGAAUUAAAGCAAGUAUUUUAAUUAAAGGACUUUUGAGAUUGUCUUCCCUUGGUGAGAAGCUGGUUGUAGUUUGUUUUAUAAAAUGAUUGUGAAUGCAGGCAAUAAUUAUUAUAUUUUAUUUUUAAAAGGCCUAGUAAUGUACUCAGUGAUAGAGUACCCUGGGUUCAACCUCACUAAAGCCUGGGUAGGGCAGGGUGAGGAUUGCAAAAAAAAAAAAAACAACUAUGAAAAGAAAAUGCUCAAAUAAAUACUGGUAUUAACAUUAGUAUUAUAUAAAAAUUUUUAAAAUUUAUUAAUCAUAAUUUAAUUCUAAAUAUUAAGAUAGUUCAAUACUACUUGUGAAAAUAAACCAUAAAAUUCUAUAUGGGUCAACUCUGCUUAUUCCAAAAUAUAAUGCAGCACAAUAUAAUAGAGCAUAUAAUAGAUAUAACAAGAUUAUCUCAAUAUUUAACUAUAAUUAUACGGUAAGAAUAGUAUGAGAUCAUUCCUUGGAUAUAUUGCCAUGAAUAUACCAACAGUUAAUUAUCUUUCAGAUUACAGCCAGGAAGCCCAUUUGCUUUUCUAAAUAAUAAAGAUAGUCUAAAGAGUGUUUACCAAGUGAACUGAUUUGAAGUAUCAAAACAGGAAAAACUAAUUAAAACUUCUGGAUCCUUGAUUCAGCUCUAUUAGCUCUGUUACUUUGGGUAAAUAGCUUAAUCUCUUUGAAGUACCUGCUGGCAAUGAAGGUCUAUGAUUAGAUUUAAUACUUACAUUUACCAAGAUUAUGAAUCUCAAAAAUGGGAAAAGGGGCCAGUUGUGGCGACACAUGCCUAUAAUCCAGAUUUUUACCGAGGUUGAGGCAGGAGGAAUGCAAGUUUGAGGCCAGGCUGGGUCAGUUAGUGAGACCCUGCUCAAAAUUAUAAAACAAAUUUAAAAGGCUGGGUUACUUGCAGGUGAUGGUGGGGAAAGAAAAGGGAAAGGCAGACUGGAGUAAAAAAGAACAUAAACUCAAUGGAGAAGAAAGCCAGGAAAUCAAAGAGAGAUUAGACAAAGGGAUGCUUAACUCUGUUCUAGAAAAUUUUCAUGUUAAAAAUAUGAAGGCAUGUACAGAAAGACUAGCUCUGCUCUUGACUCUGCGUUUUGCUAAUUAUGUUCUCUGUUUUUUCUUUUUUUUUGAACUGGGGAUUGAUCCCAGGGCUUCUGUGUUUUCUGGUCUCAGGUUUCAAAUGUCAGUUCCAUGGGGAUGAUACAGUAGUCCCUCAUUUUCUGUGGUUUUGUUUUCUGUAAUUUUAGUUACCCAUGGUCAGCUGCAGUUUGAAAAUACUAAAUGAAAAAUUUCAGAAGUAAAUAAUUACAACUUUUAAAUCAUGUGCUGUUCUAAGUAGCUUGAUGAAGUCUUGUGCCAUCCUGUUUUCUCCUCACAGGGCAGAGAGACAAAUCAUUCUUUUGUCCAGUGUAUCCACACUGUAUAUGUUACCCACCCAUAGUUACUUGCUGUUUUGAUUAUCAAAUCGACCAUCUCAGUAUUGCAGUGCUUAUGUUCUGUUAAAGCACAAGAGUAGUAAUUUGCUCCACCAGGCAUAAUGGCGCAAACCUAUAAUUUCACCUACUCCGGAAGCUGAGGUGAGAGGAUUGUGAGUUUGGUGCAGGCUUGCAACUCAGUGAGACCCUGUCUCAAAAUAAAAAAGGCAGGGUGAGUACCUCGGUGACAGAACACUUGGCUAAAGUAGUAAUGCUGGCGGUUCAGAUAUGCUAAGGAGAAGCUCUAAAUUGCUUCUUUAAGAGAGUGAAAAUUUUUGACUUGAGGAAAGGAAAAGAAUGGUGUCCUGAGGUUGAUAAGAUCUAUAGUACAAGAAGAUAUUUUCAGAGAAAGAGACUGAGACCACUUUUACAUCAUUUUUAUUGUGGUAUACUGUUGUUUUAUCAAUUAAACUUAAGUAUGUAUUUGUAUAAAAAACAGAGUACAUAAGAUUUUUUUUUUUAAUUUGAUGCUAGGGAUUGAACACAGACAUUUUUUAUUUUGAUAUAGGGUCUUGCUAAGUUGCUGAGGGUCUCCCUAUGUUGCUGAGGCUGGCCUGGAACUUGAGAGUCUCUUGCCUCACCUCCUGAAGGAUUUGGUAUUAUCCAAAGCAAGAUUUCAGGCAUGCAUUGAGGGUCUUAGACUGUAUUUCUCCUGGGAAAAUGGGAGUGGAAGCUGACAACUGUACUAUCUUGCUCAUUCGUAUAAGAGCAGAGGAACCUAGUGGCAGGAAAUGGUUCCUGGUGGCAGGUAGCAAGGACAACCAUGAAAGCAAAUAACUAGAGAUUCUGAACAAGGACUAAAGAGUAUAACAUAAAACUAGAUUUACAGUUAUUAAUCCUAAAUUCUAGUCCUGGCUUUACCCCUAACUUAUUAUUCAAGUUUGAGAUCUUUGGUAUCAGAGCAGUGCUGAAUAAGAGAGGCUAAUGUGAACAAAUGAAAUUCAGUAGGAUCCCCAAAUUAAAAAGAACUAUGAAAUGAGAGGGUCAGGUGAGAAGAUGAAUCAUCAAUGUGGAUUAUAUAGGUAUUCUCAUAGAUUAUAGAAUUAAGAAAGCCAUUAGAUAAUACACAGGUGUAGAUCUUCAUACAACACAUAUGUUCUGAUAGUAUGUAAAUUUAUUUUGGAUCAGUCAAAUUGUUAUUAUGCUAAAAGUGAAUACUAUUUUCAAGGACUCUAGAAAAUACCUUGUAAUUUAACUUUUAUGUGAAUCCAACUCAUUUUUUUUUUUUUUGGGUGCUGGGAAUUGAACCCAGGGCCUUGUACAUUCGAGGGAAGCAUUUUACCAACUGAGCUAUAUCCCCAGCCCUGAUACAACUCUUAUAAGUUGAGUUUGCUCAAAGACAUAUAACCUAUAACCUGUAUAUUGUACGAGCUUGAAAUAUACUAAUCUGACUGUUAAAAAUUGUUGAUUAGAGGUUGUGAUUAUUUAAUUAAUGGUAUUACUCCUCAUUGUGUUUUCACUUACAUGUUAAGACUACUGCCAAGCUUAGUAGUUAUUACAUUGUUGAUUUAAAUGAAUGAAUGAAUAAUAGCCACCAGUGGCUAUUAUUUUAAAUGUUUUAUUUACAUUUCAUUUAAUCUUGGAGUUUAAAAUGUAUGAAAACAACAUAAUAUUCUUAUGUAGUAUUGAUGUACUGAUGUUUGAUCCUACUUGCUAUGCCUAUUUUAAUGCACUGUUGAACCACUGUUUUUGUUGGUAUAAUACAGUUAUUUUGGAAUUUAAGAAAUUUGAAUAAUUUGUAUCUUGAUGUGUUCAUAUAGUUAAUAGAAUUUCAGAUUUAAAAAGGUCACUGUUUUAUCAUUUCAUAAUUUUUCAAGAAUAAUAAUAAUGGAUAAAGUGUAACUAUAGCAGAAUAAUUCCUAAUUUAAUUCAGGAACUUUCUGAAUAAGAAUAUAAACAUGAAAAUACAGAAAAUGAUAUAAUAGGUGUUGGAAUUUCCAUUUCAAAAUGAUGAACCUAAAGGAGAUACGAACCAAGCCAAAGUGCUUUUUUGAAAUAAAAGCUACAGCUCUGUUAGUAAAAAGUUUUUAGUCCCAGUGAAGGAAAUGAAGAACUAGUCAAAAGAUUGACUCAAAAGUUAUGCAAGAGAUGGGGUCACUUGAAGAAUAAUAAAGCAUCAGAAGAAAAUAUGUGGUGUUAGCUUUUAACUAUCUUUUCACUGUUCUCUUUGGACAGUUUGUCAGUAGCUGGAAAACUCAAGAGUAGGUAUAAUGAAUGUUAUGUUAGGGGCACUUUUCAUCAAAGAGUGUACUUUAGAAAAGGUCAAAGAAAAUCUGUGAUUCAAAUUUUUAUAUUUGCCAUUUUUAGUUGUUGAUGGACCUUUAUUUAAUUUAUUUAUUUAUAUGUGGUGCUGAGAAUUGAACCAGUGCCUCACACAUGCUAGGCAAGUGUGCUACCACUGAGCCAAAACUCCAACCUUAUUUUAUUUUUUUAUAAGUAAUUUAUUUUGAACCCAGGAACAUCUACCAUUGAACCACGUCCCCAGUCCUUUUUAUUUUUUUUUGUUUUCAGACAGGAUCUUGAUAAGUUGUAAUCUUCUUGCCUCAGUCUCCCAAGUAGCUGGGAUUUUAUGUGUGUACCACUGUUCUGGGCUAUAUUUUAAUUUUGAAUAUAUAGGUGUGUAUUCACACACACAUGUAAUUUUAUAUAUUAAUAAAAUUUGUUUUAGUUUCAUAGAUUUUUAUAAAAAGGACUUACUAAGUAUUCUCAACUUGAAAAUGUUGAAUUCAAGCUAGUAUUUUAAUUCAAAGAAGAAAAUGCUCAAAUAAAUAAUGGCGUUAACAUUAGUAUUUUUUUUUUUUCUUCAAUCCUCACCCUACCUUGCUUAGGCUUUAAUGGGGUUGAAUCCAAGGUACUCUUAUCACUGAGCUAUGUUCCUAGGCCUAUUUUUUUAUUUUGGGAGGAUUUUGCUAAAUUGCUGAAGCUGGUCUCAGAUUUGCAAUCCUUUCUCAACUUCCCAAAUAGCUAGGAAUAUAGGUGUGGGCCACUGUGCUUGGUGGUGUUUUAAUGUUAAAUGAAAUAAAUACUUUUGUAGUAGAAACAACAUAUUCAUUGCAUACAUUCUUUUGCAUGUUGAUAUAGUUUGCAGUAAGAAAAUAUAUACUUAAAAAAUGCACUGCAUAAAUUAUACUUAGAGUGUUUGGAGAAGAGACCUUCAGUGAAUUCAUUUAUUUUAGAAGCAUACAAAAUAAGGGUUUUAAAAUUUUUGAUAUUUAAAACCACCCUGAGGUGGCAGCAGCAGGCCCAGUAAUAUUGAGGUGCAGAAGCAGGACUGGAGUUCAGGGAGCUCCAACCAAUUUGGACUUGGACUUGACUUCACUAAUCAGGAUUUCUCCUGGUACUCUGAGCUUGGACCUCUGAAGCACAAGGAAAUGUAGCUCAGUGACUUGUAAUGGGGAGAGUAUAUGAACAGGUGCUGGGAACCAUAGGUACAUUACAAGUUCACAGGGUAGAAACUCACCUAAAAGUAUACUUUGCUUCAUACACAUUAACAGUAAUCUUCAGCUAUAUUUUAAUACAAAGAACAGAAGAGACAAAAUCCCAAACUGAUGACCCAGUCCAAAGUAGGAGUGGCUAAGGGUGGGUCCUACAGAAUUAACACAAAGGCUGUGGAUAUCCCACAUGAGUGAUAUCUAGGACACUUUGGCAAGAGUUGGCUGUGCCCUAAAAACACUCACAUAUAAGAGUGGAAGAGUAAUUCAUCUUUAUUGAUGAAUAAAACUCAAUACAGGUAAAUAAGAUAUAGAAAAAACAAGCCAACAGUACUCCUUUCUAAGUUUAUAAUUCACCAGCAAUGGACCACAAAGAUAGUGAAGCAGAUGAAAUAUCAGAUAAAGAGUUCAAAAGGAUGGUUAUAAAAAUGAUAAAUGAAUUCCAAAAGGACACAGAAAAAAAUGAAUAAAUUAAGGAAGUCAGGACAGGAUAUGAACGAGAAAUUUGAAAAGAAAAUAAGAGAUAUUAAAAAAGAACUAAACCAAAAUCUUGGAAAUGAGAAACAAUAAAUAAAAUGUUAAGUUGAAAGUCUAACAAAAGUAGACCACACUACAGACAGAAUCACAGCUGUUAGUCAAAGUGGCCCUGAAUAUUCAGACACUUUUAAAGAAAAAAUGGUUCUGAUGAGCAUGUACAAGAGCUCUGGGAACAUUGAGACCAAAUUUAAGAAUCAUUGAAAUUGAAGAGGGUUGUGAGAUAUAGGGUAAUGGAAUGGAUAACCUCUUCAGGGAAAUGCUAACAAAAAAAUUUCCAAACCUUGAGAAUGAGAUGGACAUCCAGACACAUAAGAAUUCAGAACCCCAGAUAGAUAAGAUAAUAAAAAGAAUCUCUCUCUGAUCCUUUAUAAUUAAAAUGCCUAACACAUAGAACAAGGAUAGAAUUUAAGAGCAUCAAGAGAAAAAAAUCUCAGAUCGCAUUCAGAGGCAAGCCAAUCAGAAUUACUUGUGAUUUUUCAGUACAAACCAAAAUCUAGGAAGACUUGGAAUGAUGUGUUUCAAAUCCUGAAUGAAAAUAGCUGUCAAUCAAGAUUGCUGUGUCUAGCAAAGCUGUCCUUGAAAAUGGAAAGAUGGGCUGGGGAUGUGGCUCAAGCGGUAGUGCGCUCGCCUGGCAUGCGUGCGGCCCGGGUUAGAUCCUCAGCACCACAUACAAACAAAGAUGUUGUGUCCACUGAAAAUUAAAAAAUAAAUAUUAAAAAAAUUUCUCUCUCUCUCAAAAAAAAAAAAAAAAAAAGGAAGGGGAAAAUAACCUCCCAAGAUAAGUGGAAACUAAAAGAAUUCAUGACUACUAAGUGGGCACUAGGGAACUUAAUUAAAUACUCCACACAGAAGAAAUAAAAAACAAAUCCCAGAGCUCACAAAUGAACAAAUCUUGUUUGAGGAAUAGGUAAGCAAAUAAGACAGGACCAAAAUAAAUAUGAGAAGUAAAUAAAAAAGGGAGGAAUAAAUAAACAUUAUCUCUGUAACAUCAUGGAAUGUAAAUGGUCUCAAUUCUCCAAUUAAAAGACAUGGGCUGCCAGAAUGGAUUAUAAAACAAGACCUAAAUAAAUAUAUGUUGUUUGUAAGAGAAUCACCUUAUGGGCAGAGAGCCCAUAAAUGGGAAUUGAUACAGUCUGAAUGGAGCCCAUAAACAAGCAGGGGUAGCUGCUCUCAUAUCUGACAAAGCAGAGUAAAAACCAAAAUUAGAUGUGACAAAGAAGGUUACCUCAUACUAAUAAAUGGAACAAUCCAACAAGAACGUAUAAAAGUAGUAAAUAUUUAUGCCCCGAAUGAGGGUGCACUUACAUAAAAGAGACACUACUUGAAUGAAAGCCUCAGAUAGACCCCAGUACAGUAAUACUGGGUGAUUUCAACACACUUCUAGUACCAGUUGGUAGGUCAUCCAGACAUAAACUCUGUAAAGACUCAUUGGGUCUGAAAAAUAUUCUAAACCAAUAGAUUUAACCAACAUCUGUAGAAUAUUUCAUCCAACAAUGAGUACACUUUGUUCUCAGCGGCCCAUAUAAUAUUAUCCAAAAUAGACCAUAUUUUAGGCAACAAAGUAACUCUUUGCAAAUUCAAAAAUUUUUUGAUAUAUAUUCUUGUAUCUUGUCAAAUCAUAAAGGAAUGAAAUUAAAAACUGACACCAAAAUACCCCACAGAAAAUAUAUAAUGGAGAUUGAACAGUACACUUUUUUGGGGGUGGGGUACUGAGGAUUGCACUUAACCACUGUGUCACAUCCCCAGCCUUAAUUUUUAUUUUUAAAAAUUUAUUUUAUAUUUUAUUUUAAGACAGGGUUUUGCUGAGUUGCUUAGGACCUUGCUAAAUUUCUGAGGCUGGCUUUGAACUCCUGACCUUCUGCCUCAGCCUCCUAAAAUGCUGGGAUUACAGGCAUGUACCAGUGUGGCUGACUGAACAGUAUACUUUUGAAGGAUGACUUGGUAAUAGAAGAAAUUAGGAAAGGAAUUAUUAAAUUUUAGGUUCAAAUGAGAACAGUGAUAAAAUAUAACCAUAGUUUUUGGGACAGUGAAGACUGUUCUAAGAGAAAAGUUUGUAGCUGCCGGUGCUUAUGAAGAAAAUUGGAAAGAUCUCAAAUGAAAAACCUAAUGAUGUAUCUCAAGGUCCUUGAAAAAUAAGAACAAACCAGUUUCAAAAACAGUAGAUGAAAGAAAAUAAUUAAGAUCAAAGCCAAAAUCAACAAAAUUGAGAGUUAAAAAAAAAAAUACACAGAAUCAACAAAACAAGAUUGUAGCCUCUUAGCAAAACUAACCAAAAGUAGAAAGAGAAACUCAGAAAAUUAGAGAUGAAAAAGAAGAAAUUACUACAGACAUCAUAGAAAUCCAGAGAAUUGUUAGGGACUAUUUUUAAAAAUUAGACUCUAAUAAUUUGGAAAACCUAGUAGAAAUAGACACAUUUCUAGACACACAUAAACUGCCAAAGUUGAAUCAAAAGAACAUAGAAAACCUAAAUGUAUCAAUAACUAGCAAUGAGAUAGAGGCACUAAUGCAAGUCCCCCCAAAAGAAAAGCCCAGGAUCAAAUGGAUUCUGAGCUGAAUUCUACCAGACUAUUAAAAAAGUAAUGCUUGUGGUCCUCAAAUUAUUCCACAAAAUAAAAAGGGUGGAAUACUUCCAAAUUAAUUCUGUGAAGCCAGUAUCAUCAUCAUACCAAAACCAGAUAAAGACAGACGCAUCAAGGAAAGAAAACUAUGGACCGGUAUCCCUGAUGAACAUAGAUGCAAAAAUUCUUAAAAAAAUAUUUAGCAAAUUAUAUUCAAUAACAGAGUAAGAAGAUUGUACAUCAUGACCAAGUUUGUCUUACCCCAGUAAUGCAAGGAUGGUUUAACACAUGCAAAUCAAUAAAUGUAAUUCAUCACAUAAAUAGAAUGAAAAGCAAGAAUCAUUUAGCUCAAUAGAUGGAGAGAAAGCCUUUAACAAAAUUCAGACCUAUUCAUGAUAAAAACACUGAUGAAGCUUGGGAAAGAAGAACCACCUACCUCAGUAUCAUAGAGGCUAUACAGGAAAAUAUCCAAAGCCAGCCUCACAGGAAAUGGGGAAAAACUGGAAGCGUUUUCUUUAAAAAUCUGGAAGACAAAGAUGUCCAUUUUCACUUUAUUUUCUGUCUUUAUUCUUUUGCUGAAAAGACUGUCCCUUUGUCCCACUUAAUGGUUUAGGCAUAGUUCUUCAAAAUCAUUUUAUCUCAUAUGGGAGGGUUGAUCCUAGGCUCUUUUUUUAAAAAAAUAUUUUUUAGUUGUAGUUGGACACAAUAUCUUUAUUUUAUUUAUUUUUACAUGAUGCUGAGGAUUGAACCCAGGGUCUUGCACAUGCUAGGCAAGCGCUCUACUGCUGAGCCAUAACCCUAGCCCUAUUCUAGGCUCUUUUAUUGCUUUGUAUAAAAUUAAUUUGAAAGAAUAGCCAAAGCAGGGGCUGAGGUUGUGGCUCAGCGGUAGAGUGCUCGUCUAGCACAUGUGAUGCCCUGGGUUGGAUCCUCAGCGCCACAUAUAAAUAAAUAAAUAAAUAAAUAAAUAAAUAAAUAAAUAAAUAAAUAAAUAAAUAAAAUAAAGGUAUUGUGUCAACUACAACUAAAAAAUAUUUUUAAAAAGAUAGCCAAAGCAAUUCUGAGCCAAAAAGCAAUGCUGGACUCAUUACAAUAUCUUAUUUCAAAUCAUAACUAAGAGCUCAAGUAACCAAGACUGCAUAUUGCAGGUGCUGGCAUAAAAAUAGACACACAGACCAAUGGUACAGAAUGGAAGAUAGAAAUACACAUACAGAUACAGUCCUCUGAUUCUUGACAAGGUGCCACACACUUACACUGGAGAAAAGACAGCCUUUUAAACAAAUGGUUAUCCAUAUAUGUCUGUCUUUAUGCCAAAACCCACUUUUGAAAUGUGAGCCCUUCGACUUUGUUUUUGUUUCAAGAUUGGUGUGUUUGCUGGGUGUGGUGGCACAUGCCUAUAAUCCCAGUGGCUCAGGAGGCUGAGAUUCACGAGUUCAAAGCCAGUCUCAGCAAAAAGUUAGGAACUAAGCAAGUAGGUGAAACCCCGUCUCUAAAUUAAAUAUAAAAUAAGGCUGGGGAUGUGGCUCAGUGGUUGAGUGUCCUUGAAUUCAAUCCCUCAUACUCCCCCCCCCAAAAAAAAAAAAAAAAAGAUGGGUUUGUAUAUCCAAGAUGCUUAAGAAUCCAUAUGAGUUUGGGGAUGGAUUUUUCUUUUCUGGAAAAAAGCAUCAUUGGGAUUCUGCUAAAAAUUACACUGAAUCUGUAAAUCACUUUGGAUAAUAUUGACAUCUUAUGUCUUCCAAGAAUACAAAUGUCUUCAAAUUUAUGUCUUCUUCAAUUUCUUUCAGCAGUGUUUUGAAAUUUUCAGUGUACAAGUCUUCUAUCUUCUGGGUUAAGUUUUUUCCCAGAGUAUUUUACUCUUUUCAGUGAUAUUACAAAUGAAUUGUUUUCUUAAUUUUCUCUUUGGAAUGUUCAGUAUUAGUGUAUAGAAAUGGAACUUUUUUUUGCAUGAUAAUUCUGUACUUUCAAACUUUGCUGAUUUAUAAAUUCUAAGUGUAUUUUAUGGAAUUUUUAGGGCUUCCCGCAUGUAAGAUCAUGGCAUACAAAAGAUACAAUUUUAUUUCUUCCUAUCCAAAAAGCAAAUAACUUUCACUAGCAAAUUUACUUUUUUGAUUUAGAGUUUUAGCUUAUUUUUAAUGAGCUAAAUACACAUACCAAUAGAAUUCUAACUUUGACUUCAAACACUUUCUUAGCAUAUAUGCAUAUUGCUACAAUAUGAUAAAUAAAAAAUUUUACUUGCAUUAAAUUACAGUAUGUUAUUUUAAAGUUUAUGAAAAUGUUUUUUAGUUUGUAUUGUUGGAAAAAGCACAAAAGAAGAGAUGGUAAAACUUAACCUUAUCCAGCUUGAUCCUUAAUGGAAGUGAGAAGUUGCACAUGAUCUUGUGCUCCAUAUUUCCUAUGUUGCUCUCUAAAGGACUUCAGUUUGCUACUUUCAGAGAAUAAGAGCAGGGCAGAGGAUGGGAACAAUUAUAUAUAUUCUCCUUUUUAUAACCUUCUGUCUUGAGGCUUUGCUGUAUUCAGUAAUUUUGUGUUUGUUGGCAUAAUUAGAAGCGUCCUAUAAAAGCGCCCUUCUGAUUUUCAGGGACACAGGUUUAGUUUCUAGAUAUUUAAUUAAAUUUAAAAAAUUUCCGUUGUAUUAAUUUGGUUUCUCUGAAAAGUAGCUGCCCAGAUGAGAUCAAACAUUCGAGAAAUGAACUAGGAGGAAUACCUGUUAGAGGAAAUGGAAAAGGGAGCCAAAAGAGGGUAAAAGGGCUAUUUAACCGUGAUACAAGUCUGACCUUGAAGGAGAUAGGAAGGUUGGAUAGAAAUGUAUUAAGUAGCACUGCAGUUCUAAAGAGCGUUUGGCAAGGCUUCUGGGGAGUCUUUGAGCCAAAUUUACUGUCAGAGAAAUUCUUUGCACCUGAAUUAGCCUUCCUGUGAUCACAUCAUUACUGGAAGCACUCCUUGGGGAGCCUACCAGCAGUGACUCUGGUCAGCUGUGCUCCUUGUGGUUAUAAAUUAUUUUUUAUUCUUCUGUGUCAUCUAUUAUGACUUGAUAAAUUAUUGCCUUUAGAAGCAAUGGCUGUAUCAAGAACUUUAUGUAUCUCUUUAUAAUUCAUACUUGGUAGAUUUGAAAAAUUGAAAUUUUUUUUGUGUUGGCAUAUAUUUGAUAUUGCUUUAAAUUAUGAAGGCAAAUAAAGAAUUUGGAUUCUUUUCCCCAAUCUCUAAUACUUCACCUGUUCUUAACCUCAAAUACUGACCUUGCCUCCUAUUUUCUAAGAGAAUUUCCACAUGUUCCUACCACCAGCUUUCGCCCUCAUUACUUCAACAAAACUUCUCCUAUUAAACCUGUCAGUGACCUGCAUGUUGCUCAAUUCAAUGGGCAUUUUUUAGUCUUCACCUUUUAGUAGCACUUGACAAAGUGAAUCAAUUCCUCCUCUUUGAAAUAAUAAAUUAUUCAUUUGGUUUCUUAUGAAUUACAUGACAGUAUUCUGGUUUUACUUAUACCUCACUGGUCCUUUUUUCUUGAUAUUAUUUGCUAGUUCCUCCUCAGUUCCUUGACCUCUAAAUGUCUGUGUGCAAUAGGACUUAAUUAAGGAGAUCACAUCUGUGGUCAUGUUUUUACCAUAUGUCUUCAGCAGGAUCACUUCCUUUAAUUCUAGAUAUAGAUAUUCAGCUUUCUGUUCAACAUAAGACAUCUGAAACUUAACCAUCUAAAACCAAAACAUUUUCUUCCCUCUGUCCAAACUUGAAUCCCAAGUUAAAAGCAGCUUCAUCCUUCUAGUUCAUGACACUGAAAUUUGAUGUCUUUCUUUCACAUCCCAUACUCGGAACAUCAGAAAAUUUUGUUGACACUGCCUUCAGAUUAUACCCAAACUCUUACCACUUUUCACCACUCUGCUGCUUCCAACCUGAACUAAGCCAUCCUCUUGCUCUGGAUUAUUUCGGUAAACUCCCCAAAUGGUCUUCCUUGCUCUGUGUUAGUUUUUUUUUUAACGACGUAGAGUUGAAAGCCAUUUACUUCAAAACCUAUGUCAGGUCAUUUCAGCCUUAGGCUCAAAACCCCCCAGUGUAUUUCCUUCUCCCUUGGUGAAAGUCAAGGUACCUGUAUUGUAAGAUAAAAUAUGUAUCAUUGGCAUUCUGGUCCUCACAUACCUGUGUUUUAAUAUCAACUACUUUCCCCUGCUGCUAAUUCAGCUUCUUGCCUUUCCUGAAAUGUAUCAAAUAAAUCAGUGUUACCUUCUGAUUGCUUCUAUUAUAGUGAUGUAGGGAACAAGGUAAUUGGCUGAGAAUGAGAUGAAUAAGUGGUGGUGUGAAUAUAUAGAACAGAAGAAGGUAUGAGAUAGUUGGCUAGGAUAAAGGAAUAGUUAUUAGACUUGGGCUAAGCAGCAUUAAAGACCUAUUUAAUACAGACAAAUUUCGAAGUAUGACUACUUACUCUUUUUCCCUCUCUCCCUUCCUUUCUUUCUCUUUCUUUAGCAGCUUGAAGAAAGGAUUGGUGAAAAAUUGGAUAUAAAAUCAGGGUUGAAAUUUGGCAGUGUCAGAGAGGACAAGGACAGUGAACAUAUUUGUAAGGAGUGAUUAUAAUGAUGACUUGGAAUCCAAGAUGUAAACUCUGGUCAGCAGGAAUGUGUUGGAAAAUGAAGUGAGAGAAGAAGCCUUGCAUUUCUUCUCUGGUGAAAGACAUACCAUUAUUCACAACAAUUACACAUUUGGAUACUUAGAAUAGAGAACCAGUAGAAACUUUAAGAGUGCUGAGGAUUGAACCCAGUGCCUCAGGCAUGCUAGG